UGAGCAACCUGCCCUUAGCUCUGGGAUAACCCCGGGAAACCGGGGCUAAUACCGGAUACGAGUCCGAGCGGCAUCACGCGGACUGGAAAGUUUUUCGACUAAGGAUGGGCUCGCGGCCUAUCAGCUUGUUGGUGGGGUAAUGGCCUACCAAGGCGACGACGGGUAGCCGGCCUGAGAGGGCGACCGGCCACACUGGGACUGAGACACGGCCCAGACUCCUACGGGAGGCA
rnacentral:rRNA from 1 species